rnacentral:lncRNA from 1 species
GGAGGCUGGGGGGAGAAUGCCCUGGGACUCCCAGUGGGCAGCACAGAAGACUGGGCACCUGGCCCCAGGCCGCCAGGACUGAGAGCCUCAGGUGAGCUGGUGCAGGGUCCAGGGGAGCAGGAGACAGCGAGGGAGCAAGCUGUGACUCGGGAGAGAGAGAGGAGCUGCCCCUCUAGGGCAGGGUGGCCACUGGGCCUCCUGGCCUCCAGCUCCACCUCCAGCCACAGUGUGACUUAGCAAGGCCUGGCCCUCCCGAGCCUUGGUUUCCAGUGACCCUCAGGCCACUCGGUAUGUCUGAGAGGACGGUGGAGGACUCCCUGGCUCUCGCAGGGCUCAGCGGGUGCAGUUCCCUCCGGGAUUCAUCCUUCAGAGAAGCAGGCUGCUGGGCAGAGCCCAGGGAGUGUGCUGAGUGGGGGACAGGCUUCCCUGGGCGGGACGCCACAGCUGUGGAGAAGCAGCCUGCUCAGGCGACAGACGGGAGCUGUCCAGGGCCGGAGCGUGGGCAAGGAGAGCAGAGAGGGAGGAGAGGGGUUCUGGGGCCAGGGGGUCCCCGGAAGAGGAGAAGAUGAUAGAGUAGGACAGGGGGGAGGGGUCCUUGGAGCUCCGCCAAGGAAGGGUGGUUGCCACCAUCCUGAGCGUGGACAGAGCUUAGGAGGGAAGGAGGCCCAGGCCAAAGGGCCGCCCUGUGGCUCAGGGUCUUAGUGAUGCGGCCUCUGCCUGCCCCUGCCCUGCCCCGAGGGACAGCCCACUCUCCCUCUGGCCCAGCCUGCCCACCCUCCAAGGCCACCUGCUCUUCAGAGCCUCAGGGCAUCUGAGUCUUUUCAAGGACUUCUGACCGGGCAGGCUCCUUACCCUUGGCCUCUUCCAGGGUGAUAAAUGGCUAGAAAUCAUGGCCCCUGUCUGGGGCUCCAGAGGGUUUCAGCCACCCACCCUCCCUAGCGCCUGCUCCUCCCAACACACGCGAACAUGAGAAAAUCCUUCCUGGAAACCGAGCCCAGGAUCCUGAAGUGGGUGCAGGAGCGGUGGCCCCAACUCAGCAAAAAAAAAAAAAAAAAAAUUCCAGAGGCUUCUGUGCAGCUGAGUUUCCAUGGGAACAUGUGCCCGUGGCUCCAAUCCUGAUCCUCCGUGAGGCUGGGUUCCCUUCCCAGCCAGGACCGCAGGACUUCCGCGGGAGGCCUCAGCCGGGCGCUGCCACCGCUCUGGCCUCCAGCCCUCACUAACCUGAAAUCAAGUUACCGACAAACCUGCCUUUUCCCCAUCUAAUUUAAAGGCCACGCUCCCCUCUGAGGAUGCCUCUGGGAUUUCAGGGAUGGAUUUUUAUGUAGUUCCAUAGUUCUCUUGGCAGAUGGCUCCUCCAGGAGAGGUGAGCCUGUGCCUCAGCCCAGCCAGGCUGAGGUGUAGCCCCUGCUGCCCAAUGCUAGGGGAUGUCAUUUGCCCAGAGGGGCAUGGCCAGCUCUGAAGCCAGACUUCAGUGUUGGGGACAUCAACGUGAAGCUCUGAGACACCUUCCUUUCUCACUCCUCCCUUGAACUGUGGUCGUGAUUUUGGCCUCUGGGUCUUGGCGGAGUCUUGACAGUGUGCGGGUCAGGCCGUACUCUCUGCACUUGGCAUGGGCCCAUUUUGAGCGAGUGUCUGAGCAGAGGACACAGACACAUGCUGUGGUAGAGCAUUUUAGCUACAGCAAGGAGGUAUUCCUUCUGCUGUGCCUGCCACACCCCAGCCUCCACCCUAGGCCCCUCUCAGAGGUAACCCCGAGGUCACAUGGGAGUGUUUUCCUCUUUGCUGUUUUUAUUUAGGUCUGUGGCACAUGAGGUCAAAACCUAGGCUGUACCACAUGCUAGGCGAGGGCACUACGCCUGAGCCACAUCCUCAGCCCCCUUUUUAAUUUUACUUUGAGACAGGGAGGGUCUUGCUAAGUUGCCUCAGACUUAUGAUCCUCAAGCCUCAGCCUCCCAAGUCACUGCCAUUCUAGGGUCACAACACCACGAUAAUGCCAGCGUUCUUCACGGUUCUUAUCACAUUUAUGCACACCUAUGGGGACAUACCGGGCAUCUGUGGGGGUUCUGAGAGCUGAGGUGGAGCUGUUCUGUAGGAGUUGUCAGCUCUGGCUUUGUUCACUCGGCCCCACGUGGUGGGGAUGUGCCCGAGCCAGCAUGUAGGAGCUGCCAGACUCUAAUUACAGCCGAGGACUCACAGGAC